CAGUAGCCGCGGGAAUACGAGGGGGGCAAGCGUUGUCCGGAAUUAUUGGGCGUAAAGCGUCUGUAGGUGGCUUUUCAAGUCCGCCGUCAAAUCCCAGGGCUCAACCCUGGACAGGCGGUGGAAACUACCAAGCUGGAGUACGGUAGGGGCAGAGGGAAUUUCCGUUGGAGCGGUGAAAUGCGUCGAGAUCGGAAAGAACACCAACGGUGAAAGCACUCUGCUGGGCCGACACUGACACUGAGAGACGAAAGCUAGGGGAGCAAAUGGGAUUAGAGACCCCCGUAGUCCCUGUCUCUUAUAC
rnacentral:rRNA from 1 species